GAGACAGAUUGCAUUCAGACCUUGGAGACAAGGGACCCGCGUGGACACUUCACUGAUGCACAGUGUUUCCAGGUUACAGAGUGCUUUCCCACCCAUUAGCUCACUUGGUACCCCUCCCCCACUCCGACGACCUCAUGGAACCUGGGAUUGUUAUUGUUGGUUGGCUUCUCACAAGCGUAUUUGUGUGGAAGGGGCACCCCCAUUGUCUAGAUGAGCAAACUGAAGAGACUUGCUUAAGGUGGCAGCGCUUGAACCAGACCCUGGACUUUCAAGACCGAGGAAUAUGCAUGUGAUACUGGAGCGGGAGCAACCGUCUGGCAACCAUGAGGAUCAAAGCCACAGACUGACACCAGUAUGGAGAUCCUGGUUCUCUGACAGCCAUGCGCAGCUGCUAUAUCCACCCUGCACAGCCCACUGCCGUGUGUCGUCUUUAUUUGGUGGUUGUUCUAGCCGGGAAACCGGUGAAACAUCCUAUGAGGGAAUCUACCCAAGAGUGAGCUCCUCGAGAGAAGGCUCUGCCUCAAACAGACCUUUGUGUCCUCCACAGGGCUUAGAAAGGUUCUUGUCUGAUAAGUAUUUGUUGAAAAAAAAUAUACAAGCACAAGUCUCUCC